rnacentral:lncRNA from 1 species
AAAUUCAUAUCCCUCUCAUUAUUGGUCCAAAAAUUAUGGGACCAAUUUCAUUCUUCUCCUUUUAAUUUCUACUUUCUAAAAAUGAUUUUUAAUAUUUUUUAUUUCAUCAUUUGAUAUUUUUUAGUAAUUUUCUCUUUUCUGGUUAUUUUUAAUUCAUUUAAAAUAGUUUUUGAUAUCCAAAAAAUACAAAAAUAUUUUUCCAACCUCUUU